GGCCCAGUGGCACAGUGGGUAGUGCGGUUGUCUCAUGCCAUAGAAAUUGUGGGUUGGAAUCCGGCCUGGAUUC